ACGGGGGCCCGCACAAGCGGUGGAGCAUGUGGUUUAAUUCGAUGCAACGCGAAGAACCUUACCAAGUCUUGACAUCCUGCGAAUUUUCUAGAGAUAGAUUAGUGCCUUCGGGAGCGCGGUGACAGGUGCUGCAUGGCUGUCGUCAGCUCGUGUUGUGAAAUGUUGGGUUAAGUCCCGUAACGAGCGCAACCCUUGUCCUUAGUUGCUAGCAGGUUAAGCUGAGAACUCUAAGGAGACUGCCGGUGACAAACCGGAGGAAGGUGGGGACGACGUCAAGUCAUCAUGGCCCUUACGACUUGGGCUACACACGUGCUACAAUGGCCAGUACAAAGGGUUGCCAAGCCGCGAGGUGGAGCUAAUCUCAUAAAACUGGUCGUAGUCCGGAUUGGUGUCUGCAACUCGACUCCAUGAAGUCGGAAUCGCUAGUAAUCGUGAAUCAGAAUGUCACGGUGAAUACGUUCCCGGGCCUUGUACACACCGCCCGUCACACCAUGGGAGUGGGUUGCUCCAGAAGUGGCUAGUCCAACCUUCGGGGGGACGGUCACCACGGAGUGAUUCAUGACUGGGGUG
rnacentral:rRNA from 1 species